UGGAGGAAGAAAAAGGAGAUCAGAAAAGGGUACAGAUUUCAACAACCAAUCAAAAAAUAUUUGUAAUUGCCUGUAUGUCUGUAUUGCUGACUUUUAUUUAUCAUCACAGUUGUGAAAUAGUAAGUAGUUAACUUGAAUUUCUUUCCUCAAUUUAGAGAGGCAGACACAUUCCCCAUCACAUCCACCAUCUGACAUCAGCAGUGAAUCCGAGGAAGUGUCUGAAAUAUCUGACAUUGAGCAGAACUGAUUGAUGACCCAUCAACCCUUGAGGAUCUCAUCACAUAAAUGUUUAUUAUUAAAUCAAUAUGUAUUAUUAAAUGUAUUUAUUUUAACCCUUAA